rnacentral:rRNA from 1 species
UGGGGAAUAUUGGACAAUGGGCGCAAGCCUGAUCCAGCCAUGCCGCGUGAGUGAUGAAGGCCUUAGGGUUGUAAAGCUCUUUUAGCAGGGAAGAUAAUGACGGUACCUGCAGAAAAAGCCCCGGCUAACUUCGUGCCAGCAGCCGCGGUAAUACGAAGGGGGCUAGCGUUGCUCGGAAUUACUGGGCGUAAAGCGCACGUAGGCGGCUUUCUAAGUCGGGGGUGAAAUCCUGGAGCUCAACUCCAGAACUGCCUUCGAUACUGGAGAGCUCGAGUCCGGGAGAGGUGAGUGGAACUGCGAGUGUAGAGGUGAAAUUCGUAGAUAUUCGCAAGAACACCAGUGGCGAAGGCGGCUCACUGGCCCGGUACUGACGCUGAGGUGCGAAAGCGUGGGGAGCAAACAGGAUUAGAUACCCCUGUAGUCC